GGAGCUGUCGCCUAGUGGCCUAUGGCGCUCGCUUGGAAAGCGGGUUGGGUUAACGCCCUCGGGGGUUCGAAUCCCCCCAGCUCCGCCA
rnacentral:tRNA from 1 species